UGUGAUGCGGCGGUUUUGCUGAGAUGGAAGUCGCUGCAUGCAUCCUAGUGUCCGGAGGUUCUAGUGGCGGUGAGGUUGUUGCCGGAUUUCGCACAAAUACAUCUGGCUUAGACGGAGCUACCACAAGUAGGUCGACAUCAAGUUGUGGAUCGCCAGACUUGCACAAGACAAUUUUUUUAUCCUAGUUGGAGUCUCUUCACCUCCCUUUUCGGACACAACUUCCUCAUCCUCAGAACUCGAGUCAUCAGUAGAUGGGUUGUUGCGGUUGUUGUCGCCGUUUCUGUUGUUGUUAUUGUUUUUAUUGCUGUUGUAGUUUCGGUUGUUGUUAGCGAUGUCGUCCCCCUUAGUCGUCAAUGUCGUCAACUUAUCCGAUAGAGCUUUGACCAUUGUAGCUAAAUCGUCAAAGUCUGCCCUCG
rnacentral:lncRNA from 1 species